AGAUUUCCAUAUAAGGGUUGUUAUAGAUGAUGACGUUGAUAGGCUUCAAGUGUACGUGUAGAGAUACAUUCAGCUGAGAAGUACUAAUCGCCCAAUAGCUUUUCUUUU
rnacentral:rRNA from 1 species